AACGAACGCUGGCGGCAUGCCUAACACAUGCAAGUCGAACGAAGGCUUCGGCCUUAGUUGCGCACGGGUGAGUAACGCGUGGGAAACUGCCUAUUGGUGGGGAAUAACGACGGGAAACUGUCGCUAAUACCGCAUAAGCCCUUCGGGGGAAAGAUUUAUCGACGAUAGAUGUGCCCGCGUCCGAUUAGCAAGUUGGUGAGGUAAUGGCUCACCAAGGCGACGAUCGGUAGCUGGUCUGAGAGGAUGAUCAGCCACACUGGGACUGAGACACGGUCCAGAAUCGUACGGGAGGCAGGAGUGGGGAAUAUUGGACAGUGGGCGAAAGCCUGAUCCAGCAAGGCCGCGUGAGGGAUGAAGGCCUUAGGGUUGGAAAGCUCUUUCGGGUGGGACGAUGAUGACGGUACCACCAGAAGAAGCCCCGGCUAACUUCGUGCCAGCCGCCGCGGUAA
rnacentral:rRNA from 1 species